rnacentral:snRNA from 1 species
GGGUGUGAGGGCGAUCUGGCUGCUACAUCUGUUACCCUGUUGAUGGCAUGAUUCAGCUGAUCUAGCUGGUGAGGUGGGUGUCCGCUUCCUCCCUCACUGCUGUAUGUGUGUCCCUCCUGAAGCUGUGUGCUUGGUCAAAGAGGACAACCUUCCCAGACAUGAGAGUAUCAUUUUUCCUC